rnacentral:rRNA from 1 species
GACGAACGCUGGCGGCGUGCUUAACACAUGCAAGUCGAACGGAAAGGCCCUGCUUUUGUGGGGUGCUCGAGUGGCGAACGGGUGAGUAACACGUGAGUAACCUGCCCUUGACUUUGGGAUAACUUCAGGAAACUGGGGCUAAUACCGGAUAGGAGCUCCUGCCGCAUGGUGGGGGUUGGAAAGUUUCGGCGGUUGGGGAUGGACUCGCGGCUUAUCAGCUUGUUGGUGGGGUAGUGGCUUACCAAGGCUUUGACGGGUAGCCGGCCUGAGAGGGUGACCGGCCACAUUGGGACUGAGAUACGGCCCAGACUCCUACGGGAGGCAGCAGUGGGGAAUAUUGCACAAUGGGCGGAAGCCUGAUGCAGCAACGCCGCGUGCGGGAUGACGGCCUUCGGGUUGUAAACCGCUUUCGCCUGUGACGAAGCGAGAGUGACGGUAAUGGGUAAAGAAGCACCGGCUAACUACGUG